GCUGACAUAAGUUUACAUGAAACAGUAUAAGCUUGGAUGCUAGUUGUGUGCAUUUAAAUAUUAGGUACUUUCUGUUGUAAUUAGGCUUACAUAAAUGCGAGUCCAUCAACAUAAAACAUAUUGUAUACAGCCUUUUGAAACCCUAUAAAUCAUUUGAUCACAAUUGUAUUUAUUUGACAAUACAACCAUGACAAUAUAAAAAGUACAACCUAAAAGGUAGUUCAACAGUUUAACAAAAUUUAGGAGUUAUUAAAUGAUGACAUCUGACCAAUGAAAGCUGCACUAAUACUUGAAAAAGUCAUCAGCUGAGCAUAACAAUCCUCUAGAAAGAUUUAUCAUUAUAAUGUUGAAUAAAAUCUUUUUCUGAAUUAGAAAGUAUAAAAAAAACUUUUGUUUAUAUCAUAGACUCAAUAAAAAUAAC
rnacentral:lncRNA from 1 species